AGUGAACGCUGGCGGUAGGCCUAACACAUGCAAGUCGAACGGCAGCACAGUAAGAGCUUGCUCUUACGGGUGGCGAGUGGCGGACGGGUGAGGAAUACAUCGGAAUCUACUUUUUCGUGGGGGAUAACGUAGGGAAACUUACGCUAAUACCGCAUACGACCUACGGGUGAAAGCAGGGGAUCUUCGGACCUUGCGCGAUUGAAUGAGCCGCUGUCGGAUUAGCUAGUUGGCGGGGUAAAGGCCCACCAAGGCGACGAUCCGUAGCUGGUCUGAGAGGAUGAUCAGCCACACUGGAACUGAGACACGGUCCAGACUCCUACGGGAGGCAGCAGUGGGGAAUAUUGGACAAUGGGCGCAAGCCUGAUCCAGCCAUACCGCGUGGGUGAAGAAGGCCUUCGGGUUGUAAAGCCCUUUUGUUGGGAAAGAAAAGCAGCAGGUUAAUACCCCGCUGUUCUGACGGUACCCAAAGAAUAAGCACCAGCUAACUUCGUG
rnacentral:rRNA from 1 species